CCCGGUGCUAUGAGCGGCAGGGACACACCUGUUCCCAUUCCGAACACAGAAGUUAAGCCUGCCAGCGUUGAUGGUAGUAUCCCGCCUAGCGGGAUGCGAGAGUAGGCCAGUGCCGGGA
rnacentral:rRNA from 1 species